GGAAUCUGCACAAAUGACGCGAGCGCGUGGACGACGCGGACGCGUGAUACAAAAAACGCUGAGUGACGCGAUCGCAUGGGCGACGCGGACGCGUGACAUGCGCGAUCUGCAGAAUUACAAAAGUUGCUGGCAGAGAUUCUGGGCCACAUUUCAACCUAGUUUUCGGCCCAGAAACACAGAUUAAAGUCAGGGAAUGUGCAGAGAC